GGGGAUUUAGCUCAGUGGCAUAAGUGCCUGCCUGGCAAGCACGAGGUCAUAAAUUCAAUCCCCA
rnacentral:tRNA from 1 species